rnacentral:lncRNA from 10 species
GAGCGAGAAGGGUGGCAGAGGAGGCGCGGAGCGGGCGGCGGCGGCGGCGGCCCGAGGAAGAGGAGGAGGAAGAGCAGGCGGAGACGCGGCGCCCGGAGCCGGCCGGACCGAGCCGGGGGCGGGCGAGGAGGGGCGCGGCGGCCGCGGCGGAAGGGGGGGCGCUCUGCGGAUGGCCAGGCCCGGCCCGCGGGGGGGGUGAGGUCCUCGGCCCUCCCGCCCUCCCCCCCGGUCCCCGCCCGCCCCCUCCCCGGGCCCGCUCGCCCUCCGGGGCGGUGGGGCAUGGCCUGAGGGUCCCCGUCUCCGGGGGGGUGGGGGGUGGGGGGAGGGGGGAGGGGCCGCGGGCGCCGCCGACCGGGACUCAGCAGCCCCGCCAGGCAGCCGCCUGUGAUGCUGCCGUCCCCCGUCGCCCCGUGGCCCCACAAUG